rnacentral:rRNA from 1 species
CCUACGGGCGGCAGCAGUGAGGAAUAUUGGUCAAUGGCCGCAGGGCUGAACCAGCCAAGUCGCGUGAGGGAUGACGGUCCUAUGGAUUGUAAACCUCUUUUGUCAGGGAGCAAAGGGCGCCACGUGUGGCGCUUUGCGAGUACCUGAAGAAAAAGCAUCGGCUAACUCCGUGCCAGCCGCCGCGGUAAUACGGAGGAUGCGAGCGUUAUCCGGAUUUAUUGGGUUAAAAGGGUGCGCAGGCGGAAUGUCAAGUCAGCGGUAAAAUUUCGGGGCUCAACCCCGUCGUGCCGUUGAAACUGGCGUUCUUGAGUGAGCGAGAGGUAGGCGGAAUGCGUGGUGUAGCGGUGAAAUGCAUAGAGAUUGCGCAGAACUCCGAUUGCGAAGGCAGCAUACCGGCGGCGAUCUGACGCUGAGGCACGAAAGCGUGGGUAUCGAACAGGAUUAGAUACCCGAGUAGUC